AAUAUGGAAGAAAUGAAGUUUCAGUGGUCUAACAAUUGAGAAAUGUGGAUUCUAGUGCUGAAUGUGACACCAGCAGUCUAACAGGGUAAAGAGUUUCUUGCCACUCCUUUUGUCACUGUGUUGACCUCUCUCUCCAGAUUUUCUUCAUGGCCAGUGGAGGUCAACUCCUAUGCUUUCCUCACAUUGACUUAAAUUGGUGUCCAGGACCCAGGCUGAAGGCACACAAUGCUACAGGAGAGUAAAAGGUUAUAUAAUCAAUCAACAGGCUGUUG